UGAACGCUGGCGGCGUGCCUAAUACAUGCAAGUCGAGCGAACAGAUGCGGAGCUUGCUCCUCUGCCGUUAGCGGCGGACGGGUGAGUAACACGUGGAUAACCUACCUAUAAGACUGGGAUAACUUCGGGAAACCGGAGCUAAUACCGGAUAAUAUAUUGAACCGCAUGGUUCAAUAGUGAAAGACGGUUUUGCUGUCACUUAUAGAUGGAUCCGCGCCGCAUUAGCUAGUUGGUAAGGUAACGGCUUACCAAGGCAACGAUGCGUAGCCGACCUGAGAGGGUGAUCGGCCACACUGGAACUGAGACACGGUCCAGACUCCUACGGGAGGCAGCAGUAGGGAAUCUUCCGCAAUGGGCGAAAGCCUGACGGAGCAACGCCGCGUGAGUGAUGAAGGUCUUCGGAUCGUAAAACUCUGUUAUUAGGGAAGAACAAAUGUGUAAGUAACUAUGCACGUCUUGACGGUACCUAAUCAGAAAGCCACGGCUAACUACGUG
rnacentral:rRNA from 1 species